rnacentral:rRNA from 1 species
UACAGAGGGUGCAAGCGUUAAUCGGAAUUACUGGGCGUAAAGCGUGCGUAGACGGUUAUGUAAGUCAGAUGUGAAAGCCCCGGGCUCAACCUGGGAAUUGCAUUUGAGACUGCAUAGCUAGGGUGCGGAAGAGGGAAGCGGAAUUCCGGUGUAGCGGUGAAAUGCGUAGAUAUCGGAAGGAACACCAGUGGCGAAAGCGGCUUCCUGGUCCAGCACCGACGUCAGGCACGAAAGCGUGGGGAGCAAACAGG